UACGGAGGGGGUUAGCGUUGUUCGGAAUGACUGGGCGUAAAGCGCGCGUAGGCGGAUCAGGAAGUUGGGGUGAAAUCCCGGGGCUCAACCCCGGAAUGGCCUUCAAAACUCCUGGUCUUGAGUUCGAGAGAGGUGAGUGGAAUUCCGAGUGUAGAGGUGAAAUUCGUAGAUAUUCGGAGGAACACCAGUGGCGAAGGCGGCUCACUGGCUCGACACUGACGCUGAGGUGCGAAAGCGUGGGGAGCAAACAGG
rnacentral:rRNA from 1 species